rnacentral:rRNA from 1 species
AGCAGCCGCGGUAAUUCCAGCUCCAAUAGCGUAUAUUAAAGUUGUUGCAGUUAAAAAGCUCGUAGUUGAAUUUCGGGAUUAGUAAGUUGGUCGUGCCUCUGGUAUGUACUGGCUUUACUGGUUCCUCCUUCUUGAAGAACUGUAAUGUCAUUAAUUUGGUGUUGCAGGGAAACAGGACUGUUACUUUGAAAAAAUUAGAGUGUUUAAAGCAGGCUAACGCUUGAAUACAUUAGCAUGGAAUAAUGAAAUAGGACGUUUGAUCCUAUUUUGUUGGUUUCUAGGAUUGACGUAAUGAUUAAUAGGGAUAGUUGGGGGCAUUAGUAUUCAAUUGUCAGAGUGAAAUUCUUGGAUUUAUUGAAGACUAACUACUGCGAAAGCAUUUGCCAAGGAUGUUUUCAUUAAUCAAGAACGAAAGUUAGGGGAUCGAAGACGAUCAGAUACCGUCGUAGUCUUAACCAUAAACUAUGCCGACUAGGGAUCGGAUGAUGUUAAUUUUUUAAUGACUCAUUCGGCGCCUUAC